AGGACGAACGCUGGCGGCGUGCCUAACACAUGCAAGUCGAACGAGGUCCAACCGGUAGCAAUACCGGUGAAGAUCAAGUGGCGAACGGGUGAGUAGCACGUGAGCAACCUGCCCCGAAGACCGGGACAACACCGGGAAACCGGUGCUAAUACCGGAUAUCCCCACCGAGUCGCAUGGCUCAGUGAGGAAAUGGAUUCCGCUUCGGGAGGGGCUCGCGGCCUAUCAGCUAGUUGGUGAGGUAACGGCUCACCAAGGCUUCGACGGGUAGCUGGUCUGAGAGGACGAUCAGCCACACUGGGACUGAGACACGGCCCAGACUCCUACGGGAGGCAGCAGUGGGGAAUCUUGCACAAUGGGCGAAAGCCUGAUGCAGCAACGCCGCGUGAGGGACGAAGGCUUUCUGAGUUGUAAACCUCUUUCAGCAGGGACGAUUGUGACGGUACCUGCAGAAGAAGCCCGGCAACUACGUGCCAGCAGCCGC
rnacentral:rRNA from 1 species